rnacentral:lncRNA from 1 species
AAAAACAAAAGAAAGAAGAAAUUAACAAUACGAAUAGUACUGAGCCCUUCUUCUUGGAAGUUCGAUACGCCAUCUGCUUCUUCUUCUUCGCUGCAAUUCAUCACUACACCUUCUUCACUGCACCUUCAUCACCUUCAAACCGUUGAUAAAGCUUUGAAACCCUAACUUUCAUAGAAAUUCAACUGAAACUUGAAAAAUUGAUACGUUCCCUUCGCUGCAAGCUUGGAAAUUUGAAC